CGGACGGGUGAGUAAUGUCUGGGAAACUGCCCGAUGGAGGGGGAUAACUACUGGAAACGGUAGCUAAUACCGCAUAACGUCGCAAGACCAAAGAGGGGGACCUUCGGGCCUCUUGCCAUCGGAUGUGCCCAGAUGGGAUUAGCUAGUAGGUGGGGUAGCGGCUCACCUAGGCGACGAUCCCUAGCUGGUCUGAGAGGAUGACCAGCCACACUGGAACUGAGGCACGGUCCAG
rnacentral:rRNA from 1 species